rnacentral:rRNA from 1 species
AUUGAACGCUGGCGGCAUGCCUUACACAUGCAAGUCGAACGGUAACAGGUCUUCGGAUGCUGACGAGUGGCGAACGGGUGAGUAAUACAUCGGAACGUGCCUAGUAGUGGGGGAUAACUACUCGAAAGAGUGGCUAAUACCGCAUGAGAUCUACGGAUGAAAGCAGGGGAUAGCAAGACCUUGUGCUACUAGAGCGGCCGAUGGCAGAUGAGGUAGUUGGUGGGAUAAAAGCUUACCAAGCCGACGAUCUGUAGCUGGUCUGAGAGGACGAUCAGCCACACUGGGACUGAGACACGGCCCAGACUCCUACGGGAGGCAGCAGUGGGGAAUUUUGGACAAUGGGCGCAAGCCUGAUCCAGCAAUGCCGCGUGCAGGAUGAAGGCCUUCGGGUUGUAAACUGCUUUUGUACGGAACGAAAAGCCCUGGGUUAAUACCCUGGGGUCAUGACGGUACCGUAAGAAUAAGCACCGGCUAACUACGUGCCAGCCGCCGCAGUAA